rnacentral:rRNA from 1 species
UACGAAGGGGGCUAGCGUUGCUCGGAAUCACUGGGCGUAAAGCGCACGUAGGCGGACUUUUAAGUCGGAGGUGAAAUCCUGGAGCUCAACUCCAGAACUGCCUUCGAUACUGAGAGUCUUCGAGUUCGGGAGAGGUGAGUGGAACUGCGAGUGUAGAGGUGAAAUUCGUAGAUAUUCGCAAGAACACCAGUGGCGAAGGCGGCUCACUGGCCUGAUACUGACGCUGAGGUGCGAAAGCGUGGGGAGCAAACAGG